rnacentral:rRNA from 1 species
GAUGAACGCUAGCGGCAGGCUUAACACGUGCAAGUCGAGGGGUAUAGUUCUUCGGAAUUAGAGACCGGCGCACGGGUGCGUAACGCGUAUGCAAUCUACCUUUCACAGAGGGAUAGCCCAGAGAAAUUUGGAUUAAUACCUCAUAGUAUAGCAGUUUCGCAUGAAACCACUAUUAAAGUCACAACGGUGAAGAUGAGCAUGCGUCCCAUUAGCUAGUUGGUAAGGUAACGGCUUACCAAGGCAACGAUGGGUAGGGUCCUGAGAGGGGAGAUCCCCCACACUGGUACUGAGACACGGGACCAGACUCCUACGGGA